rnacentral:rRNA from 1 species
AUGUGCUGCUUCUAAUCGUCCUCUUGGGACAAUUAUUGACUAUUUGACCUCAAAUCAGGUAGGACUACCCGCUGAACUUAAGCAUAUCAAUAAGCGGAGG